rnacentral:rRNA from 1 species
AACGAACGCUGGCGGCAUGCCUAACACAUGCAAGUCGAACGCGUGUAGCAAUACACGAGUGGCGGACGGGUGAGUAACGCGUGGGAACCUGCCCAAUGGUAGGGAAUAACUGCGGGAAACUGCAGCUAAUACCCUAUGCUCCCUACGGGGGAAAGAUUUAUCGCCAUUGGAGGGGCCCGCGUCGGAUUAGCUAGUUGGCGGGUAACGCCCACAAGGCUACGAUCCGUAGCUGGUCUGAUAGGAUGAUCAGCCACACUGGGACUGAGAUACGGCCCAGACUCCUACGGGAGGCAGCAGUGGGGAAUAUUGGACAAUGGGGGAAACCCUGAUCCAGCAAUGCCGCGUGAGUGAAGAAGGCCUUAGGGUUGUAAAGCUCUUUCGGCGGGACGAUGGUGACGGUACCCGCAGAAGAAGCCCCGGCUAACUUCGU